GGGGUAAAACCCAAAAAAGAUGUGGCUAUACAUUACGACUGCUGGCACUCAGUUCCCCGGACAGAGCCGGCGCAAGCUCUUGGCACGAGAACGCCUCCGGUGCAGUCGCCCGCGCGCGACAGGAGUGCCCACCGACGCUUUCGGACGGACCGUCGACGAGUCGGGGUGGCGCUUCGCGGCCAUCCUGGCGCCCCACGGCCUCCCAACGACUACACCACCGCCACCCAUCACCACCCGGGCCGGAUCCCUCUCCUUCGCGGCCGUUACUGCGGCGUCAAGGAUCAGCCCCCUGACAGCCGGGGCCCGCGGUACGGUCGCCACAAGGAGCACCACGCUGCGCAGCAGCAGCAGCAGACCACCAGCAGCAGCUGCCGCGAAGGCGUGGACUCUUCCUGGCCAAGUUCAUUUUGCAUCAGACAUGUGGGAACCUGGUAAUAAACACAAAUUUAAAAAAGAUGCAAUUCCAACCAUAUUUGGGUUUUUUCUAAAAAAGCAAGUACCAUCAAAAAACAUCGAAACUGAUGGCAGUAUUAAUGCUGAUAAAAUAACCAAUAUAAAUGACACCUUGGAGCCUACAAUAGAUAAUGUUGAAAAGAAAGAAGAGAAUCUUGAAACAGUUAUGAUAACAGAUACCUCAGAGCGUAUAACUGAUGAUGUUGAACAUGAAGUAGAGAUAGGAACAGAUAUUACACAUGACACUAAUACGCCUGCAUCGACUGUAAAUAUAUCAUCCGGAAGUAAAACAAUACAAAGUGACAAAGAGGAAACUGAGAAGUACAAAGGACAAAUGAAGAAACUGCGUCUACGUCUUAUUGCCAUGAGUAAAAAAAUGAAAGCGUUGCAAUGUACAAAUAAACAUUUAAAAAGUGAGAUUAAUAACAUUAUUAAGAAUGAAAAGUAUAAAAAAGCUUUAAGUAGUAUAUUUAAUGACGACCAAAUAACAGCAUUAUGUACAAAAAACGCAUUCGGGAUUGGUCGAACGUGACAAUGCAACAAGCACUCAAAUUAAAAUUUGCGUGUGGAACUAAUGGGUACGAGGAAUUACUGCGACAAGGGAUACCGUUUCCUAGUAUAAGAACUUUGCGACGAAAGUUAGAAAACUGUAAAUUUGAACCCGGGAUAUCAAAGCAGAUGUUACAGUUUUUGAAAUUUAAACAAUCUUCGUUUACGACAGAAAUAGAUAUCGAAUGUGGAUUAAUAUUCGAUGAAAUGAGUAUAACACCAAAGAAAUGUUAUAAUUCUGCAACGGGAUCGUUGGUGGGAAAUAUCACAUUUCCCGGUGAGACAGAUAAUACAUGACACAGAAGAACUUGGUUUUCAUGUCAACUUUAUUACAUCGGACAUGGGUGCCGGAAAUAUCGGUUUAUGGAAAUUGUUGAACAUUAGCACUGGUAGAUUAAGUCAAAUACAGAAUUUCAUUACCCAUCCAUUCGAUUCCGUAAUUGUAUGUAUGUUAUUGCCGAUCCACCUCACAUUUUAAAAAAUUUGAAGCAAGCAUUAGUUAACAAUGAAACGAUAACUAUUUCUGACGAUAUAGUCCGUAAAUAUAAGUUACCCUCGAAUAAGAUAGAGUUAAAACAUUUUAAUGAAUUGCUAAAUAUUCAAGAAAAUUCUGAUUUGUUGUUAACACCUGCAUUAAAGGCAGACGAUAUUAAAUGCAACACUUUUAACAAAAUGAAAGUAAACAAAGCAAAACAUGUGUUUUCUCAUGACGUUAGUUCUGCAUUCGAAUUAUUAGCAGAUGAGAAUAAGAAACCAGAGUAUAACUGCACUGCGUGGUUUGUUAAAAUUAUUAGUACUUGGUUUUCUGUAAUGACAUCCCGAUAUUCAAAGAUAGCAUUGGGUAAAAAACAUAUUAACAUAUAUGACAAAAAUAUUGAAUUUCUGCACGAAAUCAUUCAUAUUUGUACACAUUUAAAAAUAGGUAAUGGUGGAUUUAAACCCAUGCAAAGAGGGAUAAUGAUAAGUACACAAUCUAUCAUUGAUUUGACGGACUACUUAAUUAAACAAAGGAACUUUCAAUUGGUUUUUACUUCGCGAUUUACACAAGAUUGUAUGGAAAAUUUGUUUUCUCAAAUUAGACAAAAAAAUGUUAUACCAAAUCCACUACAAUUCACAAAUGACUUGAAAUUGAUAGCUAUCGCAAUGUAUAUGAAAAAUAUUAACACUUCCAGUUAUGAAAAUGACGACCAACAAUAUCUGCCAGGAUUUCUUGAAUAUUUAGCAACAGAGAAAAUCAAUAAAUCUGCGACAGAUGUAUGUGAAAAUCAAAACUUUAUUAACAUUCCUCCCUUUAAUGCAAAUAAAAUAUCACAGUUGUCAAACCUAGAAUUGAAUUCUUUGUACAACAUAGCCGGUUACCUCAUUACGUCUAUUAGUAAAAUGUGUCAACAUGCAAUAAAUGUUUACAAUCAGUGCGAUCGCCAACUCCAUUGCGUUUUAUAUUUACAAAGUUGGUUCAACGUAAAUGUUAUACAGAACAGUCGUUAUGUUAUGUUAAUGUAAAAACAUUUAAGCUGUUUAUACAAUUGGAACAUAUAUUUCGUUAUUAUAGUACU